rnacentral:misc_RNA from 1 species
AACGCACCUUGCGCCCCUUGGCAUUCCGAGGGGCACACCCGUUUGAGUGUCGUGAAAUCUUCAAAAACCCUUUUUUCUUUGAACCAUUGUGGUCGGAAAAAGGAUUUUUGGACUUGGAGGCUUUAAUGCUUGCCCUUUCUUCUUUUUGAAAGCGAGCUCCUCUCAAAUGAAUUAGUGGGGUCCGCUUUGCUGAUCCUUGACGUGAUAAAAUGUUUCUACGUUUUGGGUUUAGCACUGUCCCUUGGAUGCCUGCUGCUAACCGUCUCCUUGACGAUGAUGGUGCUCCGGUCACUGCCGUCUACGUCGGCGGGAGGCUGGACCCACGAAAAGAAAACCUUGACCUCAAAUCGGGUGAGACUACCCGCUGAACUUAA